GUACUUUCCAAUAAUCUCGCGGUUGAAGAGAAUGUUUAGAACAGAGGAAAUGGCAAAGGACUUAAGAUGGCAUUUCAGUAACAAGUCUAGUGAUGGCAAACUUUGCCAUCCUGUAGAUUCUGUUACAUGGGAAAAGAUGAAUGACAAGUACCCUUUAUUUGC
rnacentral:sRNA from 1 species